rnacentral:lncRNA from 1 species
AGGACAUUGAGGAUGUCCUCUCAUUAUAUUACAUUGUAUGACCUUUUCAACAACCCAGGAAGAUGAAUGCAGUGUGGUGUGAAGAAUUGAUUGCAGCGGAGAGACGUGACUAAGGGAGUGAGACCAGUUCAGCAUUCUUCCUCCAAGUGAUCAGUUUAUCUGUGAGGAGAAAUCCCUUAUUUCCCAGGGCAGAUCAUUGUGGCCAGCUUUAAUUGUGAGACCAGGUGGACUAACUGCAGGACAACUUCUCUUCAGUAAAAUGACUCUGCUUACUCUCAUCUCUGAGGCACACAUUGUUCGGUCCUGAAUGAGCUCCGCACACCCAAUUAUCAACUGGACUAGGGAGAGAGCAGGUGGAAGUGUAACUGUCAUAAGGCAGGACAAUUAAAAAGCACUGAAACGGCUAGCACAAUGAAGACUAAGCGGCUUCGACAAGAAAGGUUUGAGUAAAAAGAAACACCUGUAUGUUUUACUCAAUAAGCACAAGCUAUCAUUUUUCAAGUGGCCUUUGAAAUUUCAUGUUUGCUAAAACUGCCCUCCUUUCUCAAAGUAAGCUACAUCACUAUGUAUCCUUAACAAGAUUAA